rnacentral:ncRNA from 1 species
AAAUUAUAAGAAGGGACCCAACACAGAAAAUUCAUUUUAUUGAAUUUUACAUUUAUGUGCAAGUUGGGCAAAGUGUCUUAUUUUUUAAAAGUAUUUCAAAGUAAAAUUACAUGUUAAUACGUAGUAUUAAUGGCGAGACUCCUGAGGAAGCAGUGCCAGUCGAAGACCAAGGCUGAGACGGCACCCUAGGAAAGCGAAGCCAUUCAAUACGAAGUAUUGUAUAAAUAGAGAACAGCAG